GGACACAUUAUAGACACCUGAAGAUACACAAUAUACACACUGAAAUAGCUACACACCCACACACACAACAACACACAGAAAUCUCUGCACUACCUUAAGGUUUUCUCUUCAUUUCCAAAAGAAAAACUUCUGAAAAACAAUCUUGAUUUUUCAGAGACAAAAAUAUACAAUCCUUUCCUGUUUUCUUUUAAAAAUCAGGUUGUUCUUCCUACCUUACUAGGUUUCAUUGCUGCUGCUUUACUUCAAGCUUUCAGAGACUUAUUUUCUUACUUAUUAAUUUUUGCUGCUAUCAAGGUACUUCCUUAAACAAUGUAAAUAUUUAAAUCUUGUUGUAUCAUGACUAUGAUUCUACUGGUUAUCAAAAAUCUGUGUUCUGUUUGAAUAUUGCAUAAAGUGUUUGGUUGAGAGUAGUUAGUUAUUUAUACUGCUUGAUUCAUUUAAGUCAUGGUAGCUUUUAUAUUAAAAUAUUCUUAAAACUGUAAAAAAAAAAACUGUUUAAAGCUUUAUAUAUUCACAAAAUCUGUAUGUGCGUGUGUAAUAGUAGAAGCAAAAACAACACACACAGACAUUUUUUUAGAAAAUUUAUUAAAGUAGUAAUAGAUAGAUUUGUUAUCACUAAUAUAAUAAUUUAGCUUUUAUAUUAUAUUAUCAUGUACAAUGUGUUGGUUUAAUUAGUAGUUUUACCAUUUCAUUUAAAACAAUCAAAUAUAGUAAAUCUGAUUCCAUUAGUUCUAAGCCAUGAAAAAACUAGGUUUUUCAAGCAAACCUAAUAGUAAUCAGGGUACAUUUUCAGGCCCAAAUCAAUUGGGUCUACGAGAUUGUACUCUGAAAUUUUGACUAAUAAAUUAAAUUGAUAAUUCAAGUGAAGGCAGUGAUUUUUUGUUGUUUUAAAUACACAAUGAGUCUUAAACUUAGCACUUUAACAUAAGUUACUAAGAGGCUUAGGCAAUCAGUAGNNNNNNNNNNNNNNNNNNNNNNNNNAAAAUUAUCCAAAAAUUAACCAAAAUUUUGAUUUAUUUUGUUCGUAUCCCAAGACCCCUGUUAACUUCUUUUUUUAAGAUAAACAAAGUAUAGGUAAAAUUUGAUAAUUGUUGUUACAAAUUUUAAUUUCAAAAUCAUUCCACAAAUAUACACUGGGCCAGUCACUUGGAUUCAUUAUUAUCAGGCCCAAAUUAUUUUUUGAGUUAUUUGUCCACAAAUGGAUAUUGGGCCAGAGUCAUCCAGACUCAUUAUUAGGCCCAAACCUUCUUGCAUUAAAUGUUUUUAAUUGAUUGAAUGCUUAAUAACAUUGUGUUGGGCCAGAGUCGUUUGGACUCCAUCAUCACUAGGCCCAAAUCAUUUGGACUGAAUUCAUUUAGCUGCCUUAAAAUAUGCAUUGGGCCAGAGUCAAUUAGACUCAAGCAGGCCCAAAUUCUUUUGAACUGAAUUCAUUAGCUAGGCCCAAUAACGAAUAAUAUAUGUCUUGGGCUAGAGUUCAUUUGGACUCCGUCCUCAUCAGGCCUCAAACUUUAAAUCUGGGCCUGCUUGACAGAUAAUACAUAGGCUGCCCCCAUCUAAUACAAACAAACAUAUCACCUAAUAUUGAACCUUUAUACUUAGCCAUAUGACAUCGAGUAUUUAGUUUAGAGACAUAAGCAUAACUUAAGGUAUUUAUAAUCAACUUAAUUAUUACAAUUAUGUACACGCCUUACAAUUAUGUACACGCACGCGUGACAUAGUUGUGAUGCCAAAAACAAACCAAGGUACAUGUUCGCGUGACCAUGGUCAAACAAUCUUAAUAAAUAAAACGCCUUAAUUAAACACUCGUAGAAAUGCUUUAGGUGCGAAUUUUAAACUACUAUCGUGAUUGCGUACAUGUCCACGUGACGUGAUCCCGAUAUCCAAAAUUAAAUCGAGGUAUGCGUUCGUGCAACUUCGGCCAAACAAUCUUAAAUUAAUAAAGCACAAUUAAUUGUGUACGCGUUCGCGUGACAUGAUUUUAGUGCCCCAAACAAAGCGGACUCACACACAUGUAGUCUAUUUCAAAGAUUAAAUCCAUAAACGCCAUAAUUAAAAGCGGCAAAAGGUAAACACACAUAGGUUCUAAAAUACGUAAUUAAACAAUUUAAUUAAGCCAAGUAUAUGAUUAAAGCGACCGUGCUAAAACCACGAAACUUGGGAGUGCCCCACACCUUUUCCCGGGUUAACAGAAUUUCUUACCCGGUCUUCUGUGUUUCGCAGACUUUAAACAUAGUCAAUUUGAAAUUUAAAAUAAACCGGUGACUUGGGACACCAUAUAAAUUAUUCCAAGUGACGACUCUGAAAUUGAAUAAAUAAUCCUAUUUCGAUUAAUGUCACUUUAAUUGAAAAAACUCCCAUAGGAAAAAAAGGAGGUGUGACACUUUAGAUAAUGCAAUGUAUAUAUCCAAGCGGUUUUCGUUAAAUUGUUCACCAAGGCAAAAACUGACCUGGAUCUCAUUUCGUAACUGCACGAGAAUCAACAAAAAAUUAAAUAGCAGUGAUUUGAGUGCAUCCGAGUCGUAUAGCAAUGGAGAUACAAUAACUACGUGACAGCUGAAACUCUUACAAUGCUAGCCUUGAAUCAUUUGAAGUCUCUUCAUUCUAAUUUAAGUACAAAUGAAAAUAGGAGAUUACUUUUACAGCCCAAGGAAUGGGGAAAAUUUUCAGGGCUCCCCCAGAAUACAAGCAGAGGAGGUACCUACCAUCAUUAAACCGAAUCGAAUCCCACAAAGAUACAUGGUUCUUGAGGUUUUUCUCGACCUUAGUACCAGAAACUAAGCAAAUGGAGGAGCAGUGUCAGUCGCAUUUGAUGUUUCUAUAGAUCCUCCUCACAAACAGAUGUGAGCCCAAAAAUCCAACAGCACCUAUGUUUAAAUGACAAACAGAUAUGGUGGAUUAGAAUAAAUGAAGCAGAUAACAUUGGAACUCCAAACGAGCAAUAGAUUCAAUGUGGCAAGAAUGGUCUAACUGGUAUUUGUACUCACCGCAGAGAAUUCCUAAGCCGAGACAAAACAUCAGCGUGUAUCCAAAGUAGAAACUGGUCUGGAAGAACCCUGACAUCUUAGUCUUCACAUAGUAGUAAUAUACUGAGUACAGAUAGACAUAGACAGCUGUAGAGGCGGCUGAGAAAAAUGAAGUCCAUUGCCAAUGAUAAUUCUCAGCAUUUAACAGGAAAUAUGUGCCCACAAUGGUCACACAGACAGUAACAACAAUGAGAAUCAGGAAUACCAAAAGCAUAAACCCGUAAACAUAGUACACCUGCAAAAACCCAUGACGGUAUAUUAGCAAUCAAUUCAAUACUUUAAUAUGUCACUACCUAACAGAAGGGGUUCUUUCAUGUGUCCCAGAUAAAAGGGUAGCCCGGUGCACAAAGCAUCCCGCGUUCACGCAGAAUCCGGGGAAGGGCCGCACCCCAAGGGGUAUGACGUAGGCAGCCUACCUGAUGCAAGCAUCAAUGGCUGAUUCCACAGCUCGAACCCGUGACCUAUAGGUCACACGGAGACAACUUGACCGUUGCUCCAAGGCUCCCCUUCAUGUGUCCCAGAUCAAUUUGAAAAAUUAUACGAAAAGUAAGACUACCAUGCAAGCAAUGCAUGUUUAGCAAAAGAUAAAUGUUUUAUUCAAAGGAGUUCAUUGAAAUUUUACAUAUCACCAGAAAAAGGGCACGAGGUGGACCCAUUGGGUCAGCACCCUGAAACCGUUGAGUUCAUUUCAUGCUUAUAUUUAUAUGCAGGAAGGUUGAAGCUAUGAAGGACUGAAUUCGAAUUGUUUCUCCCUGAAUCCAUGGAAGUUCAGCCAUUAUUUUUUAUUCAAACUAACUUAGUAAACGGUGAGUGGUACACAAGCCUUAAAUCGGGUUAUAGUUUACCUUGUAAUUCCAGAAGGAUGUGAAGACAAAAUAC
rnacentral:lncRNA from 1 species